UCUGGUUGAUCCUGCCUGAACUGAUGUGUUCAUUUCAAAGAUUAAGCCAUGCAUGUGUAAGUUUAACCUGCCAGACAGGGAAACUGCGUACGGCUCAUUACACCAGCUAUAAUUUACUUGACCUUGACUUCUUACUUGGAUAACUGUGGUAAUUCUAGAGCUAAUACAUGCACCAAAGCUCCAAUCUCCCCAGAGCGGAGCGCAUUUGUUCGCCACAAAACCAAGCGCCCUCCGGGCGUCCAGUGUUGACUCAGAACAACUAAGCUGAUCGCACGGUCUUGUACCGGCGACGUGUCUUUCAAGUGUCUGCCUUAUCAACUUUCGAUGGUAGUGUAUCUGACUACCAUGGUGAUGACGGGUAACGGAGGAUAAGGGUUCGACUCCGGAGAAGGGGCCUGAGAAAUGGCCACUACGUCUAAGGAUGGCAGCAGGCGCGCAAAUUACCCACUCUCAACGCGAGGAGGUAGUGACGAGAAAUAACGAGACCGAUCUCUUAUGAGGCCGGUCAUCGGAAUGGGUACAAUUUAAACCCUUUAACGAGUAUCUAUGAGAGGGCAAGUCUGGUGCCAGCAGCCGCGGUAAUUCCAGCUCUCAAAAUGCAUAGAAUUAUUGCUGCGGUUAAAAAGCUCGUAGUUGGAUCUGUGCUAGCCGUCCGGUGCACACUUUGUGUGUUACUGGUUUGGUUGGCUUUUCUGCCGGUCUUUCCCCCGGCGUUGGCCUUUACCGGUCGGCGUCGGUGGGCUGGCGAGUUUACUUUGAACAAAUCAGAGUGCUUCAAACAGGCGUUUUCGCUUGAAUGUUCGUGCAUGGAAUAAUAGAAGAGGAUUUCGGUCCGAUUUUAUUGGUUUUGCUGACCGAGAUAAUGGUUAACAGAGACAAACGGGGCCAUUCGUAUUGCUACGUGAGAGGUGAAAUUCUUGGACCGUAGCAAGACGGACUACAGCGAAAGCAUUUGGCAAGAAUGUCUUCAUUAAUCAAGAACGAAAGUCAGAGGUUCGAAGGCGAUCAGAUACCGCCCUAGUUCUGACCGUAAACGAUGCCAACUAGCGAUCCGCCGGCGGAUUUAUUCGCCCUGGUGGGGAGCUUCCCGGAAACGAAAGUCUUCCGGUUCCGGGGGAAGUAUGGUUGCAAAGCUGAAACUUAAAGGAAUUGACGGAAGGGCACCACCAGGAGUGGAGCCUGCGGCUUAAUUUGACUCAACACGGGGAAACUCACCCGGCCCGGACACCGUAAGGAUUGACAGAUUGAUAGCUUUUUCAUGAUUCGGUGGAUGGUGGUGCAUGGCCGUUCUUAGUUCGUGGAGCGAUUUGUCUGGUUUAUUCCGAUAACGAGCGAGACUCUAGCCUACUAAAUAGUUGGCUCAUUGCUUCUGUGGGCACAACUUCUUAGAGGGAUUUUCGGUGUUCAGCCGCACGAAAUUGAGCAAUAACAGGUCUGUGAUGCCCUUAGAUGUCCGGGGCUGCACGCGCGCUACACUGGCAAAAUCAGCGUGCUUGUCCUUCCCCGAAAGGGGUUGGUAAACCGGUGAAAAUUUGCCGUGAUUGGGAUCGGACAUUGCAAUUAUUGUCCGUGAACGAGGAAUUCCUUGU
rnacentral:rRNA from 2 species